CCUACGGGAGGCAGCAGUAAGGAAUAUUGGUCAAUGGAGGCAACUCUGAACCAGCCAUGCCGCGUGCAGGAUGAAGGCCCUAUGGGUCGUAAACUGCUUUUACACAAGAGAAAACCCCGGUACGUGUACCGGAUUGAUAGUAUUGUGAGAAUAAGCAUCGGCUAACUUCGUGCCAGCAGCCGCGGUAAUACGAAGGAUGCAAGCGUUAUCCGGAUUCAUUGGGUUUAAAGGGUGCGUAGGCGGACCUGUAAGUCAGUGGUGAAAUCUCUUUGCUUAACAAAGAAACUGCCAUUGAUACUGCAAGUCUAGAGUAUAGAUGACGUUGGCGGAAUAUGACAUGUAGUGGUGAAAUACUUAGAUAUGUCAUAGAACACCGAUUGCGAAGGCAGCUAACGAAACUAUAACUGACGCUGAGGCACGAAAGUGCGGGGAUCAAACAGGAUUAGAUACCCUGGUAGUCCGCACCGUAAACGAUGAUUACUCGUUGUUGGCAAUAUGACCGUCAGCGACCAAGCGAAAGCGAUAAGAAUCCACCUGGGGAGUACGCCGGCAACGGUGAAACUCAAANAGAGUAGAGACGNGAGAGNGCGAGGACGACGACGAGGGAGGAGG
rnacentral:rRNA from 1 species